GACGAACGCUGGCGGCGUGCUUUACACAUGCCAGUCGAACGGAAAGGCCCUGCUUUUGUGGGGUGCUCGAGUGGCGAACGGGUGAGUAGCACGUGAGUAACCUGCCCUUGACUUUGGGAUAACUUCAGGAAACUGGGGCUAAUACCGGAUAGGAGCUCCUGCUGCAUGGUGGGGGUUGGAAAGUUUCGGCGGUUGGGGAUGGACUCGCGGCUUAUCAGCUUGUUGGUGGGGUAGUGGCUUACCAAGGCUUUGACGGGUAGCCGGCCUGAGAGGGUGACCGGCCACAUUGGGACUGAGAUACGGCCCAGACUCCUACGGGAGGCAGCAGUGGGGAAUAUUGCACAAUGGGCGGAAGCCUGAUGCAGCAACGCCGCGUGCGGGAUGACGGCCUUCGGGUUGUAAACCGCUUUCGCCUGUGACGAAGCGUGAGUGACGGUAAUGGGUAAAGAAGCACCGGCUAACUACGUG
rnacentral:rRNA from 1 species